rfam:Canis lupus familiaris chromosome 32, whole genome shotgun sequence.
GUGCUUGCUUCGGCAGCACAUACAUUAAAAUUGGAACAAUACAGAGAAGAUUAGCACGGCCCCUAUGCAAGGAUGAUACGCAAAUUCGUGAAGCAUUCUGUAUUUUU